rnacentral:rRNA from 1 species
UGGUCAAGUUAUUAAGGGUGCAGGGCGGAUGCCUUGGCACUAGGAGCCGAUGAAGGACGUGAUAAGCUGCGAUAAGCUUCGGGGAGUUGCACGUAAACUUUGAUCCGAAGAUUUCCGAAUGAGGAAACUCACUUAGAGUAAUGUCUAAGUAUCAUUAAGUGAAUACAUAGCUUAAUGAGGGGAACUCAGGGAACUGAAACAUCUAAGUACCUGAAGGAAGAGAAAGAAAUUCGAUUCCGUAAGUAGCGGCGAGCGAACGCGGAUUAGCCCAAACCAAUAAAGUUUUCUUUAUUGGGGUUGAGGACAUACCACAUAUAAGAGGUCAUUAUAGACGAAGAAGUUUGGAAAAACUCAUCAUAGAAGGUAAUAAUCCUGUAGUCAAAAUAAUAAUUCUUUAGGUAUGAUCCAGAGUACCACGGGACACGUGAAACCCUGUGGGAAGCAGGAGGGACCACCCUCCAAGGCUAAAUACUACCUAGUGACCGAUAGCGUAUAGUACCGUGAGGGAAAGGUGAAAAGAACCCCGGGAGGGGAGUGAAAUAGAACCUGAAACCCUGCACUUACAAGCUGUGGAAGCACAUUUCUUGUGUGACCGCGUACUUUUUGUAGAACGGGCCAACGAGUUACGUUAAGUAGCAAGGUUAAGCACUUAAGGUGCGGAGCCGUAGCGAAAGCGAGUUUUAACUGAGCGUUCAGUUACUUGACGUAGACCCGAAACCGGGCGACCUACCCAUGAGCAGGAUGAAGCGAAAGUAAAAUUUCGUGGAGGUCCGAACCCACGAGCGUUGAAAAGCUCGGGGAUGACUUGUGGGUAGCGGUGAAAUUCCAAUCGAGCCCGGAGAUAGCUGGUUCUCCCCGAAAUAGCUUUAGGGCUAGCCUCAAGGUGAGAGAUACGGAGGUAGAGCACUGAAUGUCCUAGGGGGUAUUGCACCUACCGAAGACUAUCAAACUCCGAAUGCCGUCAUCUUAUACUUGGGAGUCAGACUGUGGGUGAUAAGAUUCAUAGUCGAAAGGGCAACAGCCCAGAUCGUCAGCUAAGGUCCUUAAAUGUAAGUUAAGUGGUAAAGGAUGUGGAUUGCACAGACAACCAGGAUGUUGGCUUAGAAGCAGCCACUCAUUCAAAGAG